rnacentral:lncRNA from 1 species
CUCUGGGAGAGUCCAGCUUCUGGACGUCUUCCAUGAAAUGCAGCUUCUACAGGUCAUAAAGGUGUAAAGAUGGGGCACGCUGGCAGGGAUGGAUCCCUGGCCGGAGAGUCCGAAGCCCCUUCCACCCCUGCAGCUCUUCUCCAAAGGGAACACUCUGUUCCUUUCCUUGGGUGAACCAGACUCAGGCCCCUGCUGGUUCUUGAGUCAGCGGGGAGGCUGACCCAGCAGCCGCCUCCUGGCCAGACUGACCUAAGAAAAGAGUUGUACAGUUGAUAUCAGAGAAGGAAAAAAUUUCUGAAAGAAACCAAAGGGAAAAAAACACCUGCUAUAUAGAGAAUCAAAGAUAAGAAUUAAUCCAACUUCUACACAGAAACCAUGCAAGCAAGAAGAGAAUGGAGUGAAUGUUACAAGUUUUCAGAGAAAAAGCUACCAACCCAGAAGUCUGUACUCUGCAAAAUUAUCCUUGAGAAGUAACAGAGAAAAAGACUUUCUCAGAGAAAAAAAAAAAAAAAAUUGAGGAAAUUUGUUGCCAACAGAACUGCCUUAGAAGAAAAGCUAAAAGAAGUUACAUAAAGAGAAGGAAAUUACCAUGGGUUGGAAACUCAGCUCUGCAUGAAGAAAGGAAGAGCAUCAAAGAAGGAAAAGUCAAGCCACGCUUUCAGAAGGCGAGGGAGGGGAAACCAGGAGAUCUGACGUGGAACCCGCAGCUCUGAUGAGUUGAGGAUGAGCUACUCAAGGGUCUUCUGUCUUCCACAGCCAACAGCUUCCAGAGACAAAGCAGAUUUGGUGUGUGCAGAUUUCCCCUCUCCGAAGGGAGUACAAACUCACUGAUCCCUUCCACUUGAACCAGGCCUCUGCUGCCAGGGGAUCCUUUCCAGAACGUAACCACUGGAGGGAGAGCAGAGCCACCUGUCUCCUGACUCCCUGGCCCACAGACCACAUCCCCAGACUGUGCACAAACCGUGACGGAAACCGUGGCUACUGGCUCUGCCCAUCCAGCCAGAUGUGGGAGAAAGACAAGAGGAGGGACUUGGUCUGGCACCCCUGGGUGCCAUCCUCAGCUGGUCUUUGCGUUCAUUCUGACCCAGACGGCAAUCCUGGGCCCCCCUCUACUCAAGCAGGUGUUGGAGGAGGUCACUGGGAGGGCGUGGUCAUCAAAGGCUCCUCCCCUCCUCCUGGCCCACCCACGUAAGGUGCGUUCUGCUUGCCUCUCCCCACUAGAAGCUGCCCAAGGACCCAGCCUUGAAGUCAUAAGCUGCUCUGUAGACCCUCUGGAAGGUGUAUGUGUUUGUACCCAGUCACAGCCUCUAUAUAAACCUUUCAGAUUCUGACUGGGAGGGGGCACCAAGACCUGCUCAUCUUGCACCUGCCUAGGACAGGACAGGCUUAUGUGUAAGGUCCCUUGCUUAUGAAACCUGCCAGCUACCAAUUUAAUAUCUGCUGCUUUCCUGUCUCUCCCUCCCCUCUGCGUUCAGGGAACCCAGUUCCGAUUAUACCCAGGGAAGUUCCCGAGGUUUUGAAUUAGCAGCAGGGCCAGAGGGGUAUCUUCAAGAUCUUCUUCCCAGGAGAAUGCGGGGGGUGGGGGGCAUGGAGGGCAGGUUGUAAGGGUUGGGGGAUGCUGAAGGGAGUUCUUCACCCACCUCAGAUGCCUCUGCAAGUUAUAGUAUGGAGCCCUGGGAUAGACACUCUCCCUACAAGGACCAGAAAGUCACAUAGCUGAGCUCAACAAACUUUUGUUUUCUUUUUGGCCAUACCCUGGGCAUGCAGAAGUUCCCAGGCUGGGGACUGAACCUGUGCCACAGCAGUGACAAUGCUGGAUCCUUAGUUGGCUAGGCCACCAGGGAACUCCUCAACCAACUUUUAACAGGCACCUAUGAUGUGCCAGCUAAUUAUGCCAAGAGCCAGUCAGAUAGGGAUAAUUUUUAUUUAUUUAUUUUUUUUGUCUUUUUACCUUUUCUAGGGCCGCUCCCGCAGCAUAUGGAGUUCCCAGGCUAGGAGUCUAAUCGGAGCUGUAGCCUCUGGUCUACACCAGAGCCAUAGCAACACGAGAUCCAAGCCACGUCUGCGACUUACACCACAACUCACGGCAACACCAGAUUGUUAACCCACUGAUCAAGACCAGGAAUCGAACCCGCAACUGCAUGGUUCCUAGUCAGAUUAAUUAACCACUGUGCCACAAUGGGAACUCCCAGAUAGGGAUAAAUUUGACCUGGCUUCUCACCAGGAAAAAAAAAAAAAA